ACAGAGUCCCAUAUCAGGGUGUCCACCCUGAGUGGAGAAGUGAGAGAGUCUCUGGGAAAAUCUGAUGCAUGUCCUCUGGAUUCCAGGUUAGUAUUAUAUAGCACGGUAAUUCUCUCAUGAUGCUGAGCAGCUGUAGUGAGCUACACUUCCCAGUUGGCCACAUGACAACAAAAAAGAAAGCCAUCAGAUCCGAGACUCUCCCAACUGGACUUAAUUAAUUACUCAAGGGCAAAACCUGUAUCCUGAUUCAUCUUGGAAUUCUCAGUGCCUAACAAAGUGUUUGCAUUGCACUUGGCUUUAGAGGGAUUCAAUAACUAAUAAUUGAGACUGAACUAACUGAAAUAUAUUGAACUUAU